rnacentral:lncRNA from 1 species
UUUCUUUCCAUUUUCCACAUAAUUUUUGCAAACUUCUUCCUCUGCCUGGUCUGACAUCUCCUCUUUUUACUUUUCUAUUACACUGACCGUCAAUGCUUCCUUUCUUUCUGAUCUCUUAGACCAUCUUCCCUUCAUAGCUUAGAUUUGCCUCAUGAUUAUGUUGAAUACAAUUUCUUUCAGAGUACAAUAAAUCACAUUAUCCAAACUAUCCAUCCUUUCACAACUGUGCCUUGGCUUUGUGGUCCAGACAAAGAACAUUCAUGUGCUUGAAAUUACUGAACUGCAGCACUUGCCAGCACUAAACUAGAGGCCUGUAAGGAAUGGGUGGCUGUAUUUCAGAGCUGGAGCCAGUACAGCUGCUUUCUGCUUUUCAGAAGUGCAUGAAUUGUGGCUUAGCUUUUGGAGUUCAGACACAGAGGGUUCAAAGGAACAGAACCAACUCAGCUGGAUAGGAUUCAGCCUUGUUCUGUCCUACCUGCAUAAUAAGGAGACCUCUGACCUUCACGUAAUUUUGUUUGGAAACACAGAUGGGUUCUUCAAGGAGAAGGCUAUCAACGUGCUUGCUGCAGUGACUGGACCAGACCUGGUCAGUGAGGGAAGAAUUUGGGUUACAAUUAGCUGCUCUUCAAAUGAAGCUGUUCACUGAGCAGUAGGUGUAAGCAAAUGGGAGAUGGAAGUAUGGGAAGAGGGUCCAGAAAGAGAAAAAUGGAGGAAGGAGGUAGUCUGGGAG